rnacentral:lncRNA from 1 species
GGGAAGCUUCUGCUGUGUCACGAGGACACUCAAGCAGCUCUAUGGAGAAUCCCAUGUGGUGAAGAACUGAGGCCUCCUGACAAAGGAAUCCUAGCCAACAGCCAAGUGAACAAGGGAGUCAUCUUGGAAAGGAUGCUUCAGCCCCAGUCAAGCCUUAACAUGAUGGUCUCCCCAGCUGACAACUUGUCUGCAACCUCAUGAGAGAUCCUAGGCUUAUGAAGCUUCAUGUGCUUAAAAAGGAUUAAUCUACUGGAUGCCUUUGUUUCUAUAUUGGAGUCUCUUGGACAAGAAGGAGCCAUUGAUCAAUUUUCUCCUUCUGCCAACUCCUAUCAUCAUUUCUGUCAGGUUUGAACUAAUCCACUGGAAUAUGGACAGAUUUUUAGAAUCUUGGACUAGUCCAUGAGAGGUGGACUAAAAUGGGCUGAGGAAGGGGCCUAGAUUAGAAGAACCUCCAGGCUAAUUAUAUGCGUGAAAGAAGAUUCUCCUUCUGGCUGUGAUAUUGCCACACAUCCCCUGGCGAGUAAAAUUGCUCCUGGUUGAGAGACACUCCUGCUGAAUUCUGGACGAGAUUUUCCAGGGGUCACAGCCGACGCUCAUAACAUUGCGCUGUCUACUUGGUACACUGAGAAGCACUGCAGUCCUAUCUGCCCAGAGAGAAGAGUGAAUCAUGAAGCCAAGAAAAGAAAGACUACCUCCCAUGACACACACACAACACAGAUAGGCACACAUACACAUGAGCACACAAAAACACAGCACCACACAUCAGGACACAUAUGCAGACACCUGUACUCUCACAAGACAAACUCAUACCCGUAGAGAACUGCUGAAGUUUCUACAGGUUUUCUCGCUCCCGGUCCCAAACGCCCAAGAGUCCUGGUGCCUGAGUUCUCUAAGGUACUCUUUAGAAUGCUUUCUUUAAGUUCUCUUUUUGGCUUGCUUGAGCUCCUGUUGAUUUAUCUCGUUAGCAUUUUUUUCCAGAAAGAACUCAAUCACAAAUUGUAUUACAACAAAAGAACUUGGUAAAGUCUCAAAUUCUUCUCAAAUUUUAAAAGUACAGAUCAAUAAAUCAAUAUGAAAUUGGGGUUUCUUUUAAAUAUAUUUGACAAACAGUUGUCAGUUUUAAAAAAUCUUACCCUUUAUUUAGAGCCUUAGAUAGAAACAUGUACACUUAUGCAUCGUGGUUAAAGUUGGAAAUCAGAAAAUAGCUUUAAUAAAACUAAAGAUAGUGUCAACAGAGAUUAUUAAUAUGCUUGCUUAAUCUAUUUUAAUGAAAUGGUGAAUUUUAUGUUUUGCUUGAUUAAUUGCAAAAAGCUGUGUAAAGUUUUAUGAAUAAUGCAGGUCAAGUAAAUACUAUAACAUAAAAUCAAUGGCUACUCUGACUUUUUAGAUAGGAUAAAGGUUUUCAUCUGCGUAGUUCACAUUGUUAAGUAACUACUGAGGGUCCAGGGUGCUGAAACUGGGGAAUUCUAAAUUUCAGACUUAUUCAAAAUUUUAUUAUUGUGGCUUCGUCCACUGGAAAAUCUAAACACCGAUUCUAGUGUUUUCUAAAACACUAGGUGAGAAAUACAUUAGCAUUUUCACUUCUAGAUUUGAUUGAAGAUAUAAUCUGAUGAUUGACUGUUUUCAAAAGUCAAUUUGGAUAGCCACCUUACAAGCUGUAAAUGUGUUUAGAAUUUAAUUGUGGAAAAGCAAUUCUUAAAGGCUGAAUUAGGAAAUUAAUACUAUCCUGUACCCACAUACACACAGACAUACACAAAGAAAAUACAUGGUUUGGAGUGAUUUUACAUUAAAAUAAUAAUUACUAUAUUGAUGCUGUUUACUUUUGUCCUGCUCCAGAAGUGAGGAAAACAAUUAUCUUCCUGCUGAGUUUGAAGACAAAGAUUUUUCAAAAUAGAUAUCUUAAAGUUUAUUCAAUGCAGAGAAUGAAAAUUACAUGUCAAAUUCUUAAUAGAAAAGUUUGGUAAAUAUUCUAGAUUAUUUUGCUAUUGAUAAACACUUUCCUGCAUAUUUCUUACAUGGCUAUUUGGGUAAAAAUAUAUCUCCAGCAGAGUGAAUUCUCCUCCAGACGUAAACAAUUAAGAACAUUGAAUUUCUUUGAGAAAGAUCUAAUCUGAAGAGAGUUGAUUACAACGUAGUUCUCAAAACCACUUCAUCAUUUGUUUAUAGUUUAGCUGGAGUAAAUUUCUGGUCUAUAAGCAUCUUUACAGUCAAGAAAUGUAAAUUACUUGGCCAGAUUGCUAAGCGAGGAGAUGUUAGGCAAUUCAGUUUCUGGGCCAUCUUUUCUUAUACAGGGGCUUCUAGAGGACAAUCUAUAAGCUCAGAGACUUGUCCAAACUGAGGCCAGGUCAAAUAAGGAGCUUUGCCAAAGACUCGAAGGUAGUCUCACCUUGGUCUCCAUUCUCAUCACUGAGCUUGUGAGUUCUUCAGUCUCCUCCUCAGUUCCUGACGUCAUCAUCUAAGUCCUGGUCUCCAAAGGAUCCAAGUCUUCUCUUCACGAGCCUUCUCUUAGGUGGAUGGAACCCCAGUCAUCCCCCAUUCGCUCUCUUCUUCCAGACAUCUGCUCCUGCCUCCUAUGCCAUCUCCCACCUCCUGGUUUGGGAACUGUAUUUUGCAUGCAGAAAUGUAUUUGCUUUGCCCUUCUGCCCCAUUCUAAUCAUUUGCUUGUCCCUGGACUAUCACUUGUUGCCUGUUGCCCUAACCUAUGGAAAUCACAUAAUGCUUUGCUUACUGGAAU